GGUUAAGUGACUAAGCGUACACGGUGGAUGCCUUGGCAGUCAGAGGCGAUGAAGGACGUAGUAACUUGCGAUAAGCUCAGAUUAGGCAGUAACAGCCACUUGAGUCUGAGAUUUCCGAAUGGGGAAACCCAACUGCAUAAGCAGUUACUGUUAACUGAAUACAUAGGUUAACAGGGCGAACCGGGGGAACUGAAACAUCUAAGUACCCCGAGGAGAAGAAAUCAACCGAGAUUCCGAUAGUAGCGGCGAGCGAAAUUGGAUUAGCCCUUAAGCUUUACAUGCGUCAGGUGAAGGUUCUGGAAAGGACCGCGAAACAGGGUGAUAGCCCCGUAGCCGACAGCGCAUGUUCAGUGAAAUCGAGUAGGGCGGGACACGUGUUAUCCUGUCUGAAUAUGGGGGGACCAUCCUCCAAGGCUAAAUACUCCUGACUGACCGAUAGUGAACCAGUACCGUGAGGGAAAGGCGAAAAGAACCCCUGUGAGGGGAGUGAAAUAGAACCUGAAACCGUGUACGUACAAGCAGUAGGAGCCUCCUUUGUGGGGUGACUGCGUACCUUUUGUAUAAUGGGUCAGCGACUUAUAUUCAGUGGCAAGGUUAACCAUAUAGGGGAGCCGUAGGGAAACCGAGUCUUAACUGGGCGUUCAGUCUCUGGAUAUAGACCCGAAACCGGGUGAUCUAGCCAUGGGCAGGUUGAAGGUUGAGUAACAUCAACUGGAGGACCGAACCGACUAAUGUUGAAAAAUUAGCGGAUGACUUGUGGCUAGGGGUGAAAGGCCAAUCAAACUCGGAGAUAGCUGGUUCUCCCCGAAAGCUAUUUAGGUAGCGCCUCGGACGAAUACUACUGGGGGUAGAGCACUGUUAAGGCUAGGGGGUCAUCCCGACUUACCAACCCUUUGCAAACUCCGAAUACCAGUAAGUAAUAUCCGGGAGACACACGGCGGGUGCUAACGUCCGUCGUGGAGAGGGAAACAACCCAGACCGCCAGCUAAGGUCCCAAAUUACAGCUAAGUGGGAAACGAUGUGGGAAGGCUCAGACAGCUAGGAUGUUGGCUUAGAAGCAGCCAUCAUUUAAAGAAAGCGUAAUAGCUCACUAGUCGAGUCGGCCUGCGCGGAAGAUGUAACGGGGCUAAGCUGUAAACCGAAGCUGCGGCAAUGCGAUUUAUCGUAUUGGGUAGGGGAGCGUUCUGUAAGCCGUUGAAGGUGUGUUGUAAAGCAUGCUGGAGGUAUCAGAAGUGCGAAUGCUGACAUGAGUAACGACAAGGGGGGUGAAAAACCUCCCCGCCGGAAGACCGAGGGUUCCUGUCCAACGUUAAUCGGGGCAGGGUAAGUCGACCCCUAAGGCGAGGCUGAAAAGCGUAGUCGAUGGGAAACGGGUUAAUAUUCCCGUACUUCUUACAAUUGCGAUGGGGGGACGGAGAAGGCUAGGUGGGCCUGGCGACGGUUGUCCAGGUUCAAGUGCGUAGGCUUGAGAGUUAGGUAAAUCCGGCUCUCUUUAAGGCUGAGACACGACGUCGAGCACCUACGGGUGUGAAGUCCUUGAUGCCAUGCUUCCAGGAAAAGCCUCUAAGCUUCA
rnacentral:rRNA from 1 species